CAUUAUUUUUAUGAGAUUUUUAUUUUUAACCAUUCAUUUUUAGGUUACUUGUUUGAUAGUUAAAUAAUAUCAAAAAAUUAUGAAAUUUAGUUUUUAAAUACCUUCAAUAAUAUAUAUCAAGCUUAAUGUGUCGCAUGAUCGAAAAAUAACAUGAUAGUACGGAAGCCUCCGUACUAUUGAUAAUAUAACAGUUGGACUCAUGAGAUGAUGAUAUUAUCUUUUAUGU
rnacentral:lncRNA from 1 species